rnacentral:rRNA from 1 species
AGAGUUUGAUCCUGGCUCAGGACGAACGCUGGCGGCGUGCUUAACACAUGCAAGUCGAGCGAGCUGAUCCCUUCGGGGUGAAGCUAGCGGCGGACGGGUGAGUAACACGUGGGCAACCUGCCUCAUAGAGGGGAAUAGCCUCCCGAAAGGGAGAUUAAUACCGCAUAAGAUUGUAGUUCCGCAUGGAACAGCAAUUAAAGGAGCAAUCCGCUAUGAGAUGGGCCCGCGGCGCAUUAGCUAGUUGGUGAGGUAACGGCUCACCAAGGCGACGAUGCGUAGCCGACCUGAGAGGGUGAUCGGCCACAUUGGGACUGAGACACGGCCCAGACUCCUACGGGAGGCAGCAGUGGGGAAUAUUGCACAAUGGGGGAAACCCUGAUGCAGCAACGCCGCUGAGUGAUGACGGCCUUCGGGUUGUAAAGCUCUGUCUUCAGGGACGAUAAUGACGGUACCUGAGGAGGAAGCCCCACGGCUAACUACGUGCCAGCAGCCGCGGU